GAGCAUCCGCGUUCCAGUCCUAACCGUCAGCGCGAGCCGAUCCAACCUCGCCCGGUUCGAACUGUCACCAUCAGCCGCUUCCAUUCCCAAUCACCACCCGUUCCUCUCCCGACUUCCCGGUUCCAACCGUUACCUUCGAUCGCUCGAGUCUCAUCCGCUCCUCUCCCCCCCCCCACUCCAGGCAUUAUCGUCACCGCCGGCCGCUCCGACCGGCUCCAGCCCCGUGAUGGCUUCGGCAGACAUCGUCCGCCAAAUGGGUGAAAAUGUCCGCCCACUUUCCUUGUCAGGGCAUGUUGGAUUUGACAGUUUACCAGAUCAACUAGUUAAUAAAUCUACCUCCCAGGGGUUUUGCUUUAAUAUUCUUUGUGUUGGAGAAACUGGCAUUGGAAAAUCCACCCUUAUGGACACCUUGUUUAACACCAAUUUUGAGAAUACCCAAUCAACACAUUAUGAAAGCAGAGUAAAAUUGAAGGCUCAGACCUACGAACUACAAGAGAGUACUGCUCGCUUAAAGCUAACCAUUGUAAACUCAGUCGGUUUCGGAGACCAGAUUAAUAAAGAAGACAGUUAUAAACCUAUCAUUGACUACAUUGAUGCACAGUUUGAGGCCUAUCUGCAAGAAGAAUUGAAGAUUAAACGUUCAUUGCACAAUUAUCAUGAUUCCCGUAUCCAUGUUUGUCUGUACUUCAUUUCUCCCACCGGCCAUUCUCUUAAGUCACUAGAUUUAGUGACAAUGAAAAAGCUGGAUAGCAAGGUGAACAUCAUUCCAGUUAUUGCAAAGGCAGACACUGUUGCCAAAAAUGAGCUUCAUAAAUUUAAAAUCAAAAUAAUGGGUGAACUGGUUAGCAAUGGGGUACAGAUCUAUCAAUUUCCAAUAGAUGAUGAGACAGUAGCGAAAAUUAAUUCAACAAUGAAUGGCCAUCUACCAUUUGCUGUAAUUGGAAGUACAGAAGAAGUGAAAGUUGGGAACAAAAUGGUUAAAGCUCGACAGUAUCCAUGGGGAGUUGUGCAAGUUGAAAAUGAGAACCACAGUGACUUUGUGAAACUGCGGGAGAUGCUUGUCUGUGUCAACAUGGAAGACUUGAGAGAGCAGACGCACACUCGGCAUUAUGAGCUGUAUCGUCGCUGCAAGUUAGAAGAGAUGGGAUUCAAAGAUACAGAUCCAAAUAACAAGCCAGUCAGCCUUCAAGAAACGUAUGAAGCUAAGAGGAAUGAAUUUCUUGGUGAACUUCAGAGGAAGGAAGAGGAAAUGAGGCAAAUGUUUGUGAUGAGAGUUAAAGAAAAAGAGUCUCAGUUAAAGGAGGCAGAGAGAGAGUUGCAAGAUAAGUUUGAAAACUUAAAGAAAAUGCACCAGGAAGAGAGAAAGAAACUGGAUGAAAAGAAAAGUGUCUUGGAUGAAGAGAUGAGUGUAUUCAAUAAAAGAAAGGCUGCAACUGAACUGCUUCAAGGUCAGGCAUUUCAGACUGCACCACAAAUGAACCUCAAGAAAGACAAGGAUCGCAAAAAGGUAUCUUUGCCUGUCUGAUUUGCACAAUCUAUAUCUAUUAAAUUUUUGAUUGCUUCGUGGUGCUUCAUCUUGCUCAGUACGGUCAGUCAGUCUUCAUAUAUUGAAUUGUUUUCGAGAGCAUCACGCCUGAGUGCAGUUGAUCACUUUUAUCCUACUACUUGCUGCCAUUUCCCUCUGGAUUGCUUGAAUUGAUGAAAACAGUGCAUUAACCCAUGAAUAAUCCAGUUGGUGCCAAACACACUGCCUGCAUAGCUGUAUAAUAAGCCAUAUAUUUAAACAGCAAGGGUGAUAAUCCUGGUUGUUGACACAAGACUUUGCCUAAUUAAUAAGUGUCUCUUUCAGGGAAAUUUUGUAUUUAUCACUUGAUUUCAGUAUAUCUCUGUCUGCUUUUUGUUAAUGUGCCUGAAAAUUACUAAAUACUAAGUUUUUUUUAUUGAAUAUAUUGGAGACCUUUUUAUAAUCUCUUUUGAAGAUUUUCUUUAAAUUUUGUAAUUGAAUUAAGCUGGUACUAUGCCAAAUUUCCUAUCCCCUAGAAGGGAGGAACAUUUUGACAUUUAAAUAUACUUGAGCAUGCACAAUCAAGUAAUGUUUCUAAACCAAACGUAUAAAUGCACAUGUGUCACUUCAGUAGGUUCGAGAAAGUCUUCAGUUUUAUUAGGUUUCUGCAGGACCAAUUUAAUAUUAGCGGGUGAUUGCAUAUAAAGACAAUGGUUUCAAUGGUUUACAAUAUGAAUGCUAGAUGGGGUUACCUCAUAGGAGUAAAUUGGUGGUGCAUACACUUUUUGUUUCUUAAAUUCUUAAACCAGUCUUGCCUAUUGUUUUGCUAGUGGUGAUGUUGAAGCUUACUGUGCUACUAUUAAUUGGUCAAAUCUUGAAAUUAUUUAUAUGAAAUGGAUUUGAAAUUUCAAAUGCAACUGACAGAUAACCACUGGCAAAAUGGAUGAAUAUGAAAGAGCAAAUGUGCCCAGCUAUUGCAUAUUCUGUAAGUUUAAAUAAAAACAUUAUGGUGAAAUGCUGGCUCAGCUUGACAUGGAUUGAAUUUUAACAUAGGAAAUUUGUAUUAAUGUUACAUAAUGCAUAUUUAUCAUUUAUAGUUGAGAUGAAAUUUUGGAUAAUGUUUAAAACGUAAUAUUUCUUAUCUUUUGGUACAAGUAUAAGAAAUAUAUUGUGUAAUGCAAUUGCAACUACAUAACUUUAGUUGCAUUUUAGAGAUCUUUGCAUUUCUUAUUUAUAACUUGGCAAUAAUACCAUAUAGCAAUCUGUAGUUGUGACAAAAUAUUGAUGUAGUUUUAGAUUGCAUGCAGGCUUUUCUUUCAGACAAUACUAUAAUCAGUUGCUAAUACCUCUAAGCACGGUUCUCAAAACCUCUCUCACCACAGUGCCAGUCAGUGUUGCUCUAAAAGUGCAUUGAAUGCAUCGGCUUUUGGACAUAAUUUGAAUACUGAAAGAGAAUAACUAAGUAAAAUUGUUUCCUACCCUUUUAGGGGAGGUAUUUGAUCUGCAAACCUCUUUCCCCAAACACACAUCUUGGAUGAAACCACGUGCUCUUGUAUUGUUAUUGGCUGUGCUUCUCUUACUUUAGAAGAGAGUCUGCACAAAAAAAACUUUGAUUUCAGCUUUUUGUUUCAUCUGUAAUGUAACUUCUUUAAUUAUUAAACUUAACAUUGAAAAGAAA